GACGAACGCUGGCGGCGUGCUUAACACAUGCAAGUCGAACGGAAAGGCCCUGCUUUUGUGGGGUGCUCGAGUGGCGAACGGGUGAGUAACACGUGAGUAACCUGCCCUUGACUUUGGGAUAACUUCAGGAAACUGGGGCUAAUACCGGAUAGGAGCUCCUGCUGCAUGGUGGGGGUUGGAAAGUUUCGGCGGUUGGGGAUGGACUCGCGGCUUAUCAGCUUGUUGGUGGGGUAGUGGCUUACCAAGGCUUUGACGGGUAGCCGGCCUGAGAGGGUGACCGGCCUCAAUGGGACUGAGAUACGGCCCAGACUGCUACGGGAGGCAGCAGUGGAGAAUAUGGCACAAUGGGCGGAAGCCUGAUGCAGCAACGCCGCGUGCGGGAUGACGGCCUUCGGGUGGUAAACCGCUUUCGCCUGUGACGAAGCGUGAGUGACGGUAAUGGGUAAAGAAGCACCGGCUAACUACGUG
rnacentral:rRNA from 1 species